CCUGGGCUCAUGAGAUUUAUCUGCCUUAGUGGUAAAAUCCCAAAGGGGAGGGUGACAAAAAUCUGAUGAGUGGUGUGCUUGCAGAGGUGAUGUGCAGAUGUGCUUGCAUUGAUUAUGCCAGCGUGAUGACUGAUUUCAGCAGUACAGGCAAUGGUUAAGGUCACCCUUUGGCAAUGGUGUGAUUCUUAAAUCCCACUUAAGGUCCAUUUAGAGAGUUUCAGUGAGACUUCAGCAGUGUGUGAGAUCUGCCAAGAGUUUUUGUGCUGGAGGAGAGAGGGUUGACAGGAUCAGCCCUAACAUGUUAAGUGCUGUUUAUGGUAUUAUUACUGCUUUGUGAGUUCAUUUCCCGUAGAGACAGACUGGAGAUGAAAUGUUCAGAUUCAAACUUCCUCUCUGCUCUGGGGUGUCAGCUCCACGGCUUAGAUUUGCACCCAUAUAGUCAGUAUUGUGAUUAGAGACUAUAAACUGCAUGAGGAAUGCAAACAAUUCUCAUGAAAAGGCUAGGGAGAUAGUAUUUUCAGGAAUAAAAGGAACAUAAUCACCCUUCAUAGGUAAGAGAUGUUAUUUACACUAUGGGGAUUCAUGUCAGUACAUUUUAAGUAAGUUGCUUGGCUGAACUUGUUAUCUAGCUGCCAAGAACGGAAGUGAGAGAGAAGAGCCAGAUAGAAUUAUUGGACUCUACACUCCAAACUUACAUCAUGUAAACAUUUAUAAUAUGACUUUUAUUUUCAGCAUUGACCAUUCUCCUGGGGGUCUCUUUAUUGCUGGCAGGCUGCUUUUGAAGGCACCUUUUGGCUUAUUUGUGACGAUGCAGCAAGCCAGCAGACCUGGACCUACAAGAUUUCAGAUUUCUGAUGAUGCUACAAGUAUCUGACCCAGUGCAAUUAUGUGGGUAAACUCCUUAAGUUUUUCUUAGCAUUUUAUUGCAGUUCAUCAGUUUGUAC
rnacentral:lncRNA from 1 species